rnacentral:rRNA from 1 species
GAUGAACGCUGGCGGCGUGCCUAAUACAUGCAAGUCGAGCGAACGGACGAGAAGCUUUCUUCUCUGAUGUUAUCGGCUGACGGGUGAGUAACACGUGUAUAACCUACCUAUAAUACUGGUAUAACUUCGGGAAACCGGAGCUAAUACCGUAUAAUAUUUUGAACCGCAUUGUUCAAAAGUUAAAGACGGUCUUUCUUUCACUUAUAGAUUGAUCCACGCUGCAUUAUCUAGUUGGUAAGGUAACGGCUUACCAAGGCAACGAUGCAUAGCCGACCUGAGAGGGUGAGCGGCAACACUGGAAGGGAGACACGGUACAGACGCCGACGGGAGGCAGCAGUAGGGAAUAUUACGCAAUGGGCGAAAGCAUGAAGGAGCAACGCGGCGUGAGUGAUGAAGGUCUUAGGAUCGUAAAACUCUGUUAGUAGGGAAGAACAAAUGUGUAAGUAACUGGGCACAUAUUGACGGUACCUAAUCAGAAAGCCACGGCUAACUACGUG